rnacentral:rRNA from 1 species
AUACGGAAGGUCCGGGCGUUAUCCGGAUUUAUUGGGUUUAAAGGGAGCGCAGGCGGAGAUGCAAGCGUGACGUCAAAUUUCGGGGCUCAACCCCGUCUCGCGUCGCGAACUGCGUCCCUUGGUUGCGGGAAGGGGAGGCGGAACUCGUGGUGUAACGGUGAAAUGCAUAGAUAUCACGAAGAACUCCGAUCGCGAAGGCAGCCUUCCGGCCCGUCAACGACGCUCAUGCUCGAAGGUGCGGGUAUCAAACAGGAUUAGAUACCCUGGUAGUCCGCACAGUAAACGAUGGACACCCGCGGUUUGGCCUGUAUGGCUGAGCCGCCAAGCGAAAGCGUUAAGUGUCCCACCUGGGGAGUACGCCGGCAACGGUGAAACUCAAAGGAAUUGACGGGG